AAUAAGGGGCGCCUAAAUCAUGCUGCGGCAUGAUGGCUGAGACGGAGUGAUCCGGACCCUUGAACCUGAUACGGGUAAUACCGGCGUAGGAAACAGCU
rnacentral:ncRNA from 1 species